rnacentral:rRNA from 1 species
CACGUAGGGCGCAAGCGUUGUCCGGAAUUAUUGGGCGUAAAGAGCUCGUAGGCGGUCUGUUGCGUCCGCUGUGAAAACUCGGGGCUUAACCCCGAGCCUGCAGUGGAUACGGGCAGACUAGAGGUAGGUAGGGGAGAAUGGAAUUCCCGGUGUAGCGGUGAAAUGCGCAGAUAUCGGGAGGAACACCAGUGGCGAAGGCGGCUCACUGGCCCGGUACUGACGCUGAGGUGCGAAAGCGUGGGGAGCAAACAGG